GGAGGGCUCAGGGGGCAGGGUGGGGGAGGGCUGGCUUUUGAGGGCAGUGGGUUCCCAUGCCCAGCCCCGUGAAGGACGGGGUUCAUAGAAGACCCCAGUAUCGCAAGUCUGCAGCCAGCACGGAGGGGCCUGCAUUCCUUCUGCAGGAGAAGCAUGAAAGAGCUAUUCUUCUCAAUGUGCCAAGGAGGAAACAGGCCCAGCAGGGCAGGACAGCCCAGGUUAUAGAGCAGGCGGGAGGCUGAGCUCAGCCUCAAGUCCCAUCUGCACGCCCAAGGUGUGGGAGCCGCGACUCAGGGUGACGCUGUUUCUCAGCCCAGCCGAGUGGGCAAAAGAGCCCAACCAGAAGCUGCUCUUGGAAGACGUAAGCCCAUGCACAGGGAAUGCGCCAGCGCCCAACAGGGCACGGGGCAAAUCCAGCAUCCUCUGGGAUCUGAAAGUGGCCAGCCCCUCUGGCCUCUGCAGGUCUCUCUGUGCUGGGACUGUCUCUGAGCCGUCUACCCGUAAGUUCUCAACUUGCAAAUUAGCCCCAAACCUGGAUGGCAGGACCCCAGAGGCCUGGCCAGGGACUGUCUAGAGAUGUGUUAGAACACAGUUCCAACCUGACCUCAGUACACAGGGACUCAGAACCUAGUUGGGGCCCCAUAAACCCCCCUGGUUGGCAGGGAUAAUGGUAAUAGCAAACAAAUCCUUAGAGAAAGGGAGGAAAUUCGCAGGGAUCCCUUCAAGCCAGAAAGCAUGGAUUUAUGCUAAGGAAUGGCCAAAAAUCCUUUAUCAGGGUGAAACAGGGAAGGUUACCAGGUUCAAUACGAACCCCCAUCAUCUGUCCACUGGGGCCCUAUCAAGGGGCACGCCUACCCUCAGGGGCCUGACAGUCUUUGGGGAGCAGAAACAUCAUCUAACUUCCCAUGCACGGUGGGGGGAGAGACAGCACCAGGGCCUGAUCAAGAGUGGGCAUCCUCCUACCUGUGUUCAAACACCAGCUCUGCCACUAACCACCUGUGUGACCCUAGGCACACAGUUUCGUGUUUUUGUCUCUCCAUAUCCCUAAGACCUCCCUCAUGUUAUAUGAUCUCCCUCAUGGGGUUGCUGGAAGGAUGAAUCCUUUAUAUCUUAUAAAGAGUCUACAGCAGGGCCUAGCAUAGAGUGAACCUUCAACAGAAGUUUGCUCUAAUUGGGAACUGAGACACACGCACAAAUAAAGAACUAGGGGAGGACAGGGGGAAAAAAAUCUUGUGGCCAGAGUGGACCACAAGUGAAAGAUGGUAGCAGUGCCAAAUCCAGACUUUAAAAAGUUACAAAAGGAGCCGGAUGUGAUGCUGGGACCAGCAGGAGGCAGCACCAAACACAGGUGUGGGAGUCCCAGGGCCUGACUCUGUCACUGAUUUGCUGUGUGGCCCUGGAUAAGCUGCUUUGUCUGUUUAGGUAUUAGUUUGUAAGGUGUGGGCUAUCUCCCGUCUAUACUCUAAAGGGCUGGGAGGCUCCCAGGGUCUGGAGAGCAAUCCUGAGCUGGGCUUGGAGAGAGUCAGGAGGUGAAUGUACAACAAGGACCAGUGCGGUCGCCAUGGUGGCGUGUGACUCUAUGGUGUCCUUCCACGGAGCAGUGGAGGGGGUGCCUUUCUUGUGUAGAACGGGAGAAAAAAGGCGAAGAUGUAAUUGCAGUGGGAGGGAUGUGGGUGAGACUUUGUGCAUAACUUCCAAAUUCGAAGGCCUGGGAAAGCGUCAGAACAUUUCUGUUUCUGUAUUCUUAAGAAGGGGGCUAGCAACCCCUCGGUGCACUUUUGCUGAGGGCAAGGGGUUUCUCAUUCAUCUUUUCUUUUGAGACGAAUUCUUGCUCUGUCGCCCAAGCUGGAGCGCAGUGGUGUGAUCUCGGCUCACUACAACCUCCACCUUCUGGGUUCAAGCGAUUCUUGUGCCUUAGCCUCCCAAGUAGCUGGGAUUACACGUGCGUACCACCAUGCCUGGUUAAUUUCAUAAUUUCAAUAGAGACGGGGGUUUCACCAUGUUGGCCAGGCUGGUCUUGAACUCUAGACCUCAGGUGAUCCGCCAGCCUUGGCCUCCCAAGGUGCUGGGAUUAGAGGUGGGAGCCAUGGCACCCAGCCCUCUUAUUCGUCUUUUCGAUGGUCGGCACUGAAUAUGCGGUUGCUGAAUGAAUGAAUGCGGGCAUGUGUGAACGAAUAACAGAGGCUGGGUCUCGUAUACUGUGGCUGGCUGUGGCCAUCAGAUCCAAGGAUACAGAAGCUGAGACCCAGGCAGGCCAGCAACUUCAACACCACAACCCCCAACUGGGAGCCUCCAUUUUCUCUCAUCUGUGAGAUGCCGACAAAGACAUUAGGUCACAGGAUUCUUGUGGGGAUAAAAUGUGCUGGAUGAUCUGAAGGUAUUUUGAAGACUUCCUUCUGCAUAACUGAGGGAGGUACUCCCGGAAGGUGCCUCCCUAAGGAAGAUAGGAAAAUGGUAGAAGAGAAAUACUUCCCUGAGGCCACAUGGGAAAAUGUGAAGGACGAAGGUUCCUUUUGUGGCAGGAGUGUCCUGGAAGCCCUGUCCCAGGCACCAUGAAUGACAGCCUAUACCUGGUCCACACCUGCCUCUAUGAACCCCUUCCUCAAACUCCAAGAAAACGGCAGAAACGGGGAAGGAAUCCUAUGUCCUUUAACCUUUAACACUGUCCUGGGACUCUGGGCAUUGGCUUCUUCCGCUUGUCUCUGGAGUUGGUGCUCCAGGAACUGAAUUCAUAUCCGUAUGAAAUAUCUUGAUCACUCAAGGGAAUCUACAAUGUUCACUUUCUCUGAAAAUGGGCUAAAUGAAAUCAGUGACCUGUAAAAUUUCUUUUGGUUUUGAGACUUUUCAAAUUAUAGUUAAGAAGGGAACAUCAGUUUUAAGCUUCCCUUGUCUUCUAAAAAAUUUUUUAAAAAUCAGAUCACUACAUAUCAAUGUAUGAUUAUGGGACAUGAUGCAUAAUUUAUGAGCAGAUCAUCUCCCACAGCAGAUAAAUCAGGAAAUACUGGGCAGAUACCAGCAAAUCAGGUAUCUCUGGAGUGUCUGGGCUUGUUAGGGGCACUCAGAUCCCAGGCCACAGACAGCCACCAGUUUCAAGGAAGAAAGUAGAAACACUCAAAGAUUAACAGAAGGAAAUGGAAACAAAUUGCGUCCAACCUGGCCUCUGGCUUUCAAGUCAUUUCUUCUUAUAUCUCAAUGCACAGAAACAAUGCAGCGAUUUCCACCCUUGAACUUGGGAAUGAGGCGAGGCAAAAGCCAUAGGCUGGGAACCGCAGCCUGAAUCAGAUGAACUUAUCUUGUGGUUGACUUGUGCAUGUAUGAGUUGCACGCCUGAGAACGGGAUAGGGACUUUUGAAAUACAGCCCACGCCCUCUGGCCCUGGUGUGUACAGAGCCGCCUUCGCUGGGUGACUCAGGGUAAUGACUGAGCAACCACUGUUGGCUUGAGGAGUGCCAGGGAUGCCCUGGGAGGCUCUCCCUGCCAUGCGGCCUGCCCCGCACCAACAGGCCCCUGCUCCACGGCUGCAGCCUCCAGCCUGUCUGGCCAUCUACUGGCAGAUGCUGCUCCCAGGCUCUGCCCCCCACAGCGAGCGCCUCUGAUUCAGCCUUCCAAGCUCACAAAACAAAGUAUGUGCAAUGGAAGUAUUGUGUGGAAUCUAAGAGCUGAUGGUCUCAUCUGGGCCCAGCUGCCUGUUUGCAGACUUUGUGGCCUUCACCUGGGGUUACAGGAGGCUGAUAGUUUCUGAGUCUGGAUAAGCAACGGGUCCUAGAACAAAAACUGUGGAGACCGGGGGCUAUUCAUGGAAGGCUCCAUUUCUUAUUGAACAUUCAAUUCACCAUCAGGUCUUGUCCAAUCUACCCCCAGAACAUCCAUUUCUCCAUUACCUUGGCCAGCACUACCAUCCCCUGGCUCCUGGCUGGUAUCCCCAUGGCCCCACCUUGGGACAUUGAAUACGCAAUGUUUUUGAAGGAUGCAGUCCCCACCUGUUAUUGGGUAGAAUUAGCUUCUUCUCCAGAAGGUUUGUUCUUCAGGUAGACUUUCUGCAGCUA